rnacentral:rRNA from 1 species
GUCCACGCCGUAAACGAUGUGUGCUAGACGUUGGGGAGCCUAGCUCUUCGGUGUCGCAGCUAACGCUUUAAGCACACCGCCUGGGGAGUACUGCCGCAAGGUUAAACUCAAAGGAAUUGACGGGGGCCCGCACAAGCGGUUGAGCAUGUGGUUUAAUUCGACGCAACGCGAAGAACCUUACCAGCCCUUUACAUGUCCGGUAUGGGUGGGGGAGACCUCAUUCUUCAGUUCGGCUGGCCGGAACACAGGUGCUGCAUGGCUGUCGU